UGGCUCAGUGGUAGAGCGCUUGCCUUGCAUGCACGAGGCCCUGGGUUCAAUUCCUCAG
rnacentral:tRNA from 1 species